rnacentral:rRNA from 1 species
GACGAACGCUGGCGGCGUGCUUAACACAUGCAAGUCGAGCGGAAAGGCCCUUCGUGGUACUCGAGCGGCGAACGGGUGAGUAACACGUGCGUAACCUGCCCCAGCCUUUGGGAUAACCCUCGGAAACGGGGGCUAAUACCGGAUACGACACAGCUUCGCAUGGGGUCUGUGUGGAAAGUUUUUCGGUUUGGGAUGGGCUCGCGGCCUAUCAGCUUGUUGGUGGGGUGGUGGCCUACCAAGGCGACGACGGGUAGCCGGCCUGAGAGGGCGACCGGCCACACUGGGACUGAGACACGGCCCAGACUCCUACGGGAGGCAGCAGUGGGGAAUAUUGCACAAUGGGCGGAAGCCUGAUGCAGCGACGCCGCGUGAGGGAUGACGGCCUUCGGGUUGUAAACCGCUUUCGGCAGGGACGAAGCGUAAGUGACGGUAACUGCAGAAGAAGCGCCGGCCAACUACGUG